AACUUCCCCAGAGGUGCUUCAUGAAGACAAGGCGGGAAAGCCAAACCUGGUGAGAAUGUCUAGCUUGGGUAGCCAGACAUCUGUUGUGGGGAGGUGUAUCCCUACAGAGUGAGCUCCCAGGCAGAUGGAGGAGAGCAAACAGCCAAAGGACAGAGUUGGGCAGAGAAUCUAAGAAAACACACGAACUAUUACCAGGUUAACUUGAAAGAGAGAAGAGAAAAGAGAAGAAAGAAACAAUGUUUCCUUUUUCAUUUCUUUUCAUCUAGGAUCUGACGCUCACCAUAGCAUAUGCUACUUUUCUAUUUUUUCUUUUUUAAGACAAGAAAUAUGCUUCCUCCAGCUGAGUACCCCCAAUAGAGAUACUUAAGCCUUAGGUGACAACAGCAGAAUUUUCCCUUGCACAACCUGCAAAUUUGCUGGGAAAAUUGUAACUCCUAUAUAGCCGCCUCUGGUAAUUUUAGUUGUUUGUUUUGUUUCGAUGUAGGAAAGAGCUUUGGAGGCUGGAGAGAUGGCUCAGAGUUUAAGAGCACUGGCUGCUCUUCCAGGGAGCCUGGGUUCAAUCCUCAGCAACCCAUGGCAGCUCACAGUCUGUAACUCCAGUCCCACGGGGUCUGACGCCCUCUUCAGGAUUCUUGGGCAUCAAGCGUGCAUGUACUGCGUAGCACAGACACGCAUGCUGACAAAGCACCCAUACACAUGAAAUAAGCAAGCAAAUGAAAGAAAAAGAGAAAACUCCCUCUGACAUCCAGCUCUGGUUUUGUCACAGUGGCCAGCAAGCGAAGGUCCGUUCUGGAUCCCUGAGCCGCUGCAUGCUGGCUUCCAUUUCUGCGGAGCCCUUCCACAGAGAGCUGUCCCUGCUGAGGGCUCUUGAUUACCAAUAAUUAAUCUCAGAUGAAAGAUUCAGUACUGCAGGCUUCCUCUGUCUCUGACCUAAGAGAACACGCGGUGAACGGUUCCUUUGUUUGCCUGCCAGAGAUCUUAUCUGAGCCCAUAAGAGUUGAUAGGACCAUUGAGUCAGCAUUGCUCUUUCCUCAGUACCCUUCUUCUG
rnacentral:lncRNA from 1 species